AUAUGAUAUAAUAAGAAGGUAGAAGUUUAUGGACGGUAGCCUUCGGAGGUGAUGCUUAUGGUAAUUUUAUCGUGAGCUGGCCUCACAAAAACGAAAGGCGACAAUUUUUGUCGAUAUAUGAAACACUCUCAUUGAUGAUUGCAUUUGCGUUAUUAAUGAUUACAGUGGUUAAUAA
rnacentral:sRNA from 1 species